rnacentral:rRNA from 1 species
GAGAGACAACAGGGAUUACCUCAGUAACGGCGAGUGAAGCGGUAACAGCUCAAAUUUGAAAUCUGGGUCUUUCAGGCUCCGAGUUGUAAUUUGUAGAAGAUGCUUUGGGUGCGGCCCCGGUCUAAGUUCCUUGGAACAGGGCGUCAUAGAGGGUGAGAAUCCCGUAUGUGAUCGGUGGCUUGCGCCCGUGUAAAGCUCUUUCGACGAGUCGGGUUGUUUGGGAAUGCAGCUCUAAAUGGGUGGUAAAUUUCAUCUAAAGCUAAAUAUUGGCCAGAGACCGAUAGCGCACAAGUAGAGUGAUCGAAAGAUGAAAAGCACUUUGGAAAGAGAGUUAAACAGUACGUGAAAUUGUUGAAAGGGAAGCGCUUGCAACCAGACUUGCGCGGGGUUGAUCAUCCGGGGUUCUCCCCGGUGCACUCGGCCUCGCUCAGGCCAGCAUCGGUUUCGGUGGUUGGAUAAAGGCCUUGGGAAUGUGACUCCUUUCGGGGAGUGUUAUAGCCCUCGGUGCAAUGCAGCCUACCGGGACCGAGGACCGCGCUUCGGCUAGGAUGCUGGCGUAAUGGUUGUAAGCGACCCGUCUUGAAACACGGACCAAGGAGUCUAACAUCUAUGCGAGUGUUUGGGUGUCAAACCCAUACGCGUAAUGAAAGUGAACGGAGGUGAGAACCCUUAAGGGUGCAUCAUCGACCGAUCCUGAUGUCUUCGGAUGGAUUUGAGUAAGAGCAUAGCUGUUGGGACCCGAAAGAUGGUGAACUAUGCCUGAAUAGGGUGAAGCCAGAGGAAACUCUGGUGGAGGCUCGCAGCGGUUCUGACGUGCAAAUCGAUCGUCAAAUUUGGGUAUAGGGGCGAAAGACUAAUCGACCAUCAGCC